AGGGAUCCAUUUCUUCAAGAUUUGCAUCUUGCCGGUUGCUUCUGCGAAGUGCACCUGAAAGGCAAGCUUCUGUUUGCCAACAGAAAGUCACCUUUGGGAUGGUGGUGAAAGUCAUUUUCCACAUGUUCACAGAUACGGCCGUGUUACCAAGCCUCACGCUAUGACUUAUCUCUGGCAAGGACUUACAAAAUAGUCUCUCUGGCUGAUUGUCAAAAAUUACAUCAUAUUGGAGUAAACUGCUUUUAAAUCAGACAUCCAUUAUUCAUGUAUAUUAACUGCUUUUUUAUUUUUUUAUUGGCUGUUUUGUGUAUGAUUUACUCUUUGGUCACUGGCUCCUCCUCUCUCCCCAGUUGUCUUUCUCAUCCCUGUUUUUUUAAAGCCUUAGCUCAUCUGUGAAUUUAUAGAGACUGUUCACCUAGCUUUGUGCAUGAAUAUUGAUAUGCACACCUUGCAUUUUUGUAGUUCAAUUCCACGUUUCCGUGGAUCUUACUUUUGUUGGGUCAGAAUAGCAAUGUGGGUCGUUUACAUGAGUAAAUUCUACCAUGAAGAUGUAUAGGACUUUUUCUUUUGUAUCUUUUGUUUUUGAAAAAGGAGCAUCACUAGUCUUGUACGUGAAGAUCUGUACUGAAUAAAAGCGUACCUGUCACUUAGCAAACAGCUGUAUACAUUGCAGUUGGUGGACAGCAAA
rnacentral:sRNA from 1 species